AACGAACGCUGGCGGCGCGUCUUAAGCAUGCAAGUCGAACGGCAAGGAAGUGCUUGCACUUCCCUAGAGUGGCGGACUGGUGAGUAACACGUGGGUGACAUACCUUUUAGUUGGGGAUAGCUAUUAGAAAUAGUAGAUAAUACCGAAUGUGACCAUUACAGUUAGAGUGUAAUGAGGAAAGGAGCUAAGGCUCCGCUAAAAGAUUGGCCCGCGGCCCAUUAGCUAGUUGGUGAGGUAACGGCCCACCAAGGCGAUGAUGGGUAUCCGGCCUGAGAGGGUGAUCGGACACAUUGGGACUGAGAUACGGCCCAGACUCCUACGGGAGGCAGCAGUCGAGAAUAGUCUACAAUGGUCGAAAGACUGAUAGUGCGACGCCGCGUGAACGAAGAAGCCCUUCGGGGUGUAAAGUUCUUUUAUAUGUGAGCAGUGACACCCAUAUUAAUAGUAUGGGUGUAGAGAUAUUAGCAUAUGAAUAAGCAACGGCUAACUCCGU
rnacentral:rRNA from 1 species